UAAAGAAGAACAAGACAACAGCAAAUUGUUGACGCGGACAGCAGUUCAUAUCCUACAGAGACACAGUAGCUUCCACAAUGGAUCGGGACAAAGCUAGCCCGUCCCCCUCCACCCUCCAGGAGUCCCCAGGUCGACUGCCUCUCCGUACUUUAAUGCUGGUUCUGGUCGACUGCAGGAAAACACCGGGGCAGAGUGGAACUGAGAGACGAGAAGGAGAAGAGGAACAUGGAGAUAUGAUUUCAUUAAGCCCGAAGGCAAAAGUUCAAACUAUAGUGACAGACUGACACUGACCUGUAGCACCACCUGUACUCUGACUGACAACCCCACCAACAUCUGGUACAAGAACAGACGUCUCACCAACCCAAAUACCAAAAUAACUACCUAGACCCAGUCAGCAGUAAGGAUACAGACAGAUACUCCUGUUCUGUCAACAGCCAUGAGGAUCUCCUCUCUGCUGAAGAGACUCACUGUCACAUGGAGGGAGAUGCAACAACAGCCUUGAGAACAUCUGGACUCAAAUAGAACUCUGUUCCAAGUUGCUGUCAGGUAAAAGUAGACGAUAGCAGACAACAGGAUACUUUUGGAAAGGGGUGUUGUUGAACAUGUUCUUGACUUUACUCAAUCUGUAUAGUUUUGGUAAAAUCUUAUCGAGGAACUUUCUGAAAUAAGAUUAGCCUGGGACAGCAGGUAGCCUAGUGGUUAGACCGUUGGGCCAGUAACCGAAAGGCUGCUAAAUCGAAUCCCCGAGCCGACAAGGUAAACAACUUUAGUUCUGCCCUUGAACAAGGCAGUUAUCCCACUGUUCCUCUGCCGUCAUUGUAAAUAAAAAUGUGUUCUUAUCUGACUUGCCUAGUUGAAUAAAGAUGUGAGACGUUAUGCUGUCAUAAUGUAAUCAAGCUUGGAUAUUUCAAUAGAUGUUUGAUUGCUCUGGUCUAGGGGUGCAUCAGUUGCAGACUUGAGACAGGAAUUCUCCCCCUGCAACCCCCUAAUCCUUAUCUGAACUCUGUGAGAACAUAGUAACUGGACUGUAUGUAGCCUACCCAUUUCUUGUCUUAGUAAGAAACACUGAAGAAAACAAUAGCUUCCACGAUGGAUCCGGUAAGUCUGGUUUACUUUUAACAGUAUAGGCCUGCUGUGCUGUGCUUGGCUUUUGUUUAUUUAUUGUACUCAAGUUAUAUACAUAGACAGAAGGGUGUUAGUUAUAAAUACAGUAUAUUUGACUGUAGUUUAGUUAAGAAGAAAGACUUACACAGUGGUGUGAAGUACUUAAAUAAACAAUAUUUUAAAGUACUACAUAAUUCGUUUUUUGGGGUAUCUGUACUUUACUAUUUAUAUAUUUGAAAACUUUUACUUUACUACAUUCCUGUAGAAAAUGAUGUACUUUUUACUCCUUAAAUGUACUCGUUACAUUUUGAAUGCUUAGCAGGACCGGAAAAUGGUUCAAUUCACACACUUAUCAAGAGAACAUCCCUGGUCAUCCCUACUUCCUCUGAUCUAGCGGACUCACUAAAUACAAAUACUUUUUUGUAAAUUAUGUCUGAGUGUUGGAGUGUGCCCCUGCCUAUCAGUAAAUAAUUUAAAAAACAA